UGUGUGUUAGUGGAAGCGUCUGGAAAGGCGCGCGAUACAGGGUGACAGCCCCGUACACAAAAAUGCACAUGCUGUGAGCUCGAUGAGUAGGGCGGGACACGUGGUAUCCUGUCUGAAUAUGGGGGGACCAUCCUCCAAGGCUAAAUACUCCUGACUGACCGAUAGUGAACCAGUACCGUGAGGGAAAGGCGAAAAGAACCCCGGCGAGGGGAGUGAAAAAGAACCUGAAACCGUGUACGUACAAGCAGUGGGAGCACGCUUAGGCGUGUGACUGCGUACCUUUUGUAUAAUGGGUCAGCGACUUAUAUUCUGUAGCAAGGUUAACCGAAUAGGGGAGCCGAAGGGAAACCGAGUCUUAACUGGGCGUUAAGUUGCAGGGUAUAGACCCGAAACCCGGUGAUCUAGCCAUGGGCAGGUUGAAGGUUGGGUAACACUAACUGGAGGACCGAACCGACUAAUGUUGAAAAAUUAGCGGAUGACUUGUGGCUGGGGGUGAAAGGCCAAUCAAACCGGGAGAUAGCUGGUUCUCCCCGAAAGCUAUUUAGGUAGCGCCUCGUGAAUUCAUCUCCGGGGGUAGAGCACUGUUUCGGCAAGGGGGUCAUCCCGACUUACCAACCCGAUGCAAACUGCGAAUACCGGAGAAUGUUAUCACGGGAGACACACGGCGGGUGCUAACGUCCGUCGUGAAGAGGGAAACAACCCAGACCGCCAGCUAAGGUCCCAAAGUCAUGGUUAAGUGGGAAACGAUGUGGGAAGGCCCAGACAGCCAGGAUGUUGGCUUAGAAGCAGCCAUCAUUUAAAGAAAGCGUAAUAGCUCACUGGUCGAGUCGGCCUGCGCGGAAGAUGUAACGGGGCUAAACCAUGCACCGAAGCUGCGGCAGCGACGCUGAUGCGUUGUUGGGUAGGGGAGCGUUCUGUAAGCCUGCGAAGGUGUGCUGUGAGGCAUGCUGGAGGUAUCAGAAGUGCGAAUGCUGACAUAAGUAACGAUAAAGCGGGUGAAAAGCCCGCUCGCCGGAAGACCAAGGGUUCCUGUCCAACGUUAAUCGGGGCAGGGUGAGUCGACCCCUAAGGCGAGGCCGAAAGGCGUAGUCGAUGGGAAACAGGUUAAUAUUCCUGUACUUGGUGUUACUGCGAAGGGGGGACGGAGAAGGCUAUGUUGGCCGGGCGACGGUUGUCCCGGUU
rnacentral:rRNA from 1 species